rnacentral:rRNA from 1 species
AACAAAUCUGGAGAUAGCUGGUUCUCCCCGAAAACUAUUGAGGUAGUGCCUCGUGUAUGGCUCCAGGGGGUAGAGCACUGUUAUGGCUAGGGGGACAUGGCGUCUUACCAAACCAUGGCAAACUCCGAAUACUUGGAAGUCUGAGCACGGGAGACAGAGCACCGGGUGCUAACGUCCGGACUCAAAAGGGAAUCAACCCAGACCGCCAGCUAAGGUCCCUAAUAUCAGCUAAGUGGAAAACGAAGUGGAAAGGCUAAAACAGUCAGGAAGUUGGCUUAGAAGCAGCCAUCCUUCAAAGAAAGCGUAAUAGCUCACUGAUCGAGUCCUUCCGCGCGGAAGAUGUAACGGGGCUAAGUUGAUAACCGAAGCUGCGGAUUCAUACUUUAGGUAUGAGUGGUAGGGGAGCGUUCUGUAAGCCUGUGAAGGUGGAUCGUAAGGUCUGCUGGAGGUAUCAGAAGUGCGAAUGCUGACAUGAGUAACGAUAAAGCGGGUGAAAAGCCCGCUCGCCGCAAACCCAAGGUUUCCUGCUCUACGUUAAUCGGAGCAGGGUGAGUCGGUUCCUAAGGCCAGGCUGAGAAGCGUAGCUGAUGGAAAUCAGGUUAAUAUUCCUGAACCGGCGUUGAAUGCGAUGGGGUGACGGAGCAGCCAGAGUGGACCGGGUGUUGGAUGUCCCGGCUUCCGAGCGAUGGGUGCCUGCAGGUAAAUCCGCAGGCGUAUACCCAGGACGAAGGAUCGGGCCUUCUUUUGAAGGCGAAGCCACUGGAAGCGCUUCCAGGAAAAACCUCUAAGCUUCAGUUCAACGGCGACCGUACCGUAAACCGACACAGGUGGGUGAGCUGAAUAUGCUCAGGCGCUUGAGAGAACUCGGGAGAAGGAACUCGGCAAAUUGACACCGUAACUUCGGAAGAAGGUGUGCCUUUGUAGCUUGACGGGAGAGAAACCCGGAGGGCGAAGAGGUCUCAGAGAAUCGGUGGCUGUAACUGUUUACUAAAAACACAGCGCUCUGCAAAGAUGAAAGUCGACGUAUAGGGCGUGAUGCCUGCCCGGUGCUGGAAGAUUAAUUGAUGGGGUGCAAGCUCCUGAUCGAAGUCCCAGUAAACGGCGGCCGUAACUAUAACGGUCCUAAGGUAGCGAAAUUCCUUGUCGGGCAAGUUCCGACCUGCACGAAUGGCAUAAUAAUGGCCACACUGUCUCCUCCCGAGACUCAGUGAAAUUGAAAUGUUUGUGAUGAUGCAAUCUCCCCGCGGCUAGACGGAAAGACCCCAUGAACCUUAACUGUAGCUUUGCAUUGGACUUUGAACCGAUCUGUGUAGGAUAGGCGGGAGGCUUUGAAGAAUGGACGCCAGUUCAUUCGGAGCCGUCGUUGAAAUACCGCCCUGAUUUGUUUGAGGUUCUAACCUGGGCCAGUAAUCCUGGCUGGGGACCGUGCAUGGUGGGCAGUUUGACUGGGGCGGUCUCCUCCUAAAGGGUAACGGAGGAGUGCGAAGGUACGCUAAUCACGGUCGGAAAUCGUGAGGAUACUGCAAUGGGAAAAGCGUGCCUGACUGCGAGACAGACAAGUCGAGCAGAUGCGAAAGCAGGUCAUAGUGAUCCGGUGGCUUCUGUAUGGAAGGGCCAUCGCUCAACGGAUAAAAGGUACUCUGGGGAUAACAGGCUGAUACCGCCCAAGAGUUCAUAUCGACGGCGGUGUUUGGCAC